AUAAUGGAGAGUUUGAUCCUGGCUCAGGACGAACGCUGGCGGCAUGCCUAAUACAUGCAAGUC
rnacentral:rRNA from 1 species